rnacentral:misc_RNA from 1 species
GAUGAAGACCUGGUUUAUUGUUGUUACUUGGUUUUGACCCAAAAAAACAUGAAAAUGAAAAAAAAAACAUAAAAAGGGGAGUGGGUAAGUGGGUUGUUUGUUGGUUGCGGAAGCUUGAGCUUGCUAGUUGCAGUUUUGAGCACCAAUGAAGUGGAGUAGUGAAGUUUUUCUGUUAAGAUCUGGUGGAUUGUUUGUCAUUCACUAAAUUGGUGAAGAGGACGGACUACGAUUUUGGUGGUGAGGUCUGGGGGUUCGUUUCUCGUCCACUGGAUUGGCGAUGAGGACCGGGUGGGGGUUUUGGUUGUAGGAUCUGUGAUUUGUUUGUGUUCAAUGGAGUGAUGAAGAGAGCGGAGAGGUGUUUUUGUUGUGAGAUAUGGGGAUUCCUUUAUGUUUGCUGGAGUGAUGAAGAGAACAGGAUCGGGUUUUGGUGGUUAGAUCUAGUGGUUUAUUUGCUGUUCGCUAGAGUGUUAAAGAGGAUCGAGUGGGAUUUUUGUUUUAGACUGUGUGGUGGUAGGCGGAGCUACUGUUGGUUGUUCUUUGGUGCUCUGCUUCAUCGGAGGGUGGAGAUCCUCACAGAUAGCAGCUAAUAAAGGAGAAAGGAGGGUACGACAA